AAAUUCUCAACGGUGGAUGUCUAGGUUCCCACAACGAUGAAGAACGCAGCGAAGUGCGAUAAGCAGUGCGAAUUGCAGAACCGUGAGUCAUCAGGUUUUUGAACGCAACUGGCACCGUGCAGGCUCGCCUGCCGGUACGCCUGGUCCAGUG
rnacentral:rRNA from 1 species